rnacentral:rRNA from 1 species
GGAGGAAAGUAGGGGAUCGUAAGACCUAGCGUUGAUGGAGCGGCCGAUAUCUGAUUAGCUAGUUGGUGGGGUAAGAGCCUACCAAGGCGACGAUCAGUAGCUGGUCUGAGAGGACGACCAGCCACACUGGAACUGAGACACGGUCCAGACUCCUACGGGAGGCAGCAGUGGGGAAUUUUGGACAAUGGGGGCAACCCUGAUCCAGCCAUUCCGCGUGAGUGAAGAAGGCCUUCGGGUUGUAAAGCUCUUUCGCAAGGGAAGAAAACUCGAUCUCUAAUAUAGGUUGAGGCUGACGGUACCUUGAUAAGAAGCACCGGCUAACUACGUGCCAGCAGCCGCGGUAAUACGUAGGGUGCGGGCGUUAAUCGGAAUUACUGGGCGUAAAGCGUGCGCAGGCGGUUUUGAAAGUCAGAUGUGAAAUCCCCGGGCUCAACCUGGGAACUGCGUUUGAAACUACAAAGCUAG